rnacentral:rRNA from 1 species
AACGAACGCUGGCGGCAGGCUUAACACAUGCAAGUCGAACGCGUGCAGCAAUGCACGAGUGGCGCACGGGUGAGUAACGAGUGGAUAUCUGCCUUUUGGUUCGGAAUAACCCCGGGAAACUGGGGCUAAUACCGGAUGGUUCCUACGGGAUAAAGAUUCAUCGCCAAAAGAUGAGUCCGCGUCCGAUUAGCUAGUUGGUGAGGUAAUGGCUCACCAAGGCGACGAUCGGUAGCUGGUCUGAGAGGACGAUCAGCCACACUGGGACUGAGACACGGCCCAGACUCGUACGGGAGGCAGCAGUAGGGAAUAUUAGAGAAUGGAGGCAGCUCUGGUCCAGCCAGGCCGGGUGAGUGAUGAAGGCCUUCGGGUUGUAAAGCUCUUUUGGCGGGGACGAUGGUGACGGUACCCGCAGAAUAAGCCCCGGCUAACUUCGUG